rnacentral:rRNA from 1 species
AUUGAACGCUGGCGGCAUGCCUUACACAUGCAAGUCGAACGGCAGCACGGGUGCUUGCUCCUGGUGGCGAGUGGCGAACGGGUGAGUAAUACAUCGGAACAUGUCCUGUCGUGGGGGAUAGCCCGGCGAAAGCCGGAUUAAUACCGCAUACGAUUUCCGGAUGAAAGCGGGGGACCUUCGGGCCUCGCGCUAUCGGGUUGGCCGAUGGCGGAUUAGCUAGUUGGUGGGGUAAAGGCCUACCAAGGCGACGAUCAGUAGCUGGUCUGAGAGGACGACCAGCCACACUGGGACUGAGACAAGGCCCAGACUCCUACGGGAGGCAGCAGUGGGGAAUUUUGGACAAUGGGCGAAAGCCUGAUCCAGCAAUGCCGCGUGUGUGAAGAAGGCCUUCGGGUUGUAAAGCACUUUUGUCCGGAAAGAAAUCCUUGGCCCUAAUACGGUCGGGGGAUGACGGUACCGGAAGAAUAAGCACCGGCUAACUACGUG